GGUUGAGGCUCAGUGGUAAAGCACUUGCUUCGCACGGAUGAGGCACUGGGUUUGAUUCUCAGCACCA
rnacentral:tRNA from 1 species